CCAGAUCACCGAAGCCGCAGGAUGUGAACUGCCCCACUGAAAAAGGAGGCACUGAUUGAUGCAGCUGAAAAAGCGAGGGACGGGAUAAGCGCCACGGAGACAGAGGCCACGAAGAGAACGAAACUCACAAGAAACUACCCAACACAUGCCCAAUGAGCUGGCUAGCAGGUGACCAGCCAUUCUAAGGGAGCUCGCACACUUCCUGCCCAAGUAGGCCAUCUCUGGAAGAAUAUUCCCAAGAAUAUUCCCCAAUUCAAUUCCUGGGUGCUGAUCUCCAUACCAGGUUCUGCUUCCCAAGAAACUUAACUUGCAGCCGUGGCAGAAGCCAUCCCAGAAAACUGAUGUGGUGUGGGACAGGAGGACUGCCACCUCUCGGGCAGCUGGCCAUGAUGAUGCAGCAGCCUGGAAUGGAGAGGUCUGCGGCUGCAGGACGGAACAGGAAAGAGCAUGCUUGGCACCCUGGGGAUGUACUGGAGUACCUGUUGGCAUUUCCUUGUCCAAAUGGAAUAAGUGAACAAGCUUGCAUCCUGUUUAAGGAUGGGGAUACAGAUGACACUCCAGGCACACCCAAAGCCAGGAAGGCUUGUUAAGAUUGGUUCAAAGUGGAAAAUAUGAGGCAUGGAUGGAAUCCAGAGAUAUCUAGGGUGGAGAACAAAUAACUGGCUAUGGGAGAUGGGGUGCCAGGAGGUGACUCUCUGGUUGAGCAUCUAGGCAUGGCCAGUGCAUUGGAGCUCCACGACUGUGAUGAUCUUGGGAUCCUAAAUUUGCUUAUAUUCCUAAUAUCCAACCUUAUAUGUUUCAGUAAAUUUUUGUCAAACAUUUGAAUGAAUAAGCUUGAAGAUAAGGUAAU